AUUGAACGCUGGCGGCAGGCCUAACACAUGCAAGUCGAACGAGGGGCGGACGGGUGAGAAGUGUAGGGGAAACGGCCCGAUGGAGGGGAUUAACUACUGGAAACAGUAGCUAAUACGGCAUACCAUCGGUGGUGCAUGGAUGGGAUUGGCUAGUAGGUGUGGUAAUGGCGCACCAAGGCGACGAUCCAUAGCUGGUCUGAGAGGAUGACCAGCCACACUGGAACUGAGACACGGUCCAGACUCCUACGGGAGGCAGCAGUGGGGAAUAUUGCGCAAUGGGCGCAAGCCUGAUGUAGCAAUGCCGCGUGUGUGAAGAAGGCUUUCGGGUCGUAAAGCACUUUCAGCGGGGAGGCGGUACCCGAAGAAGAAGCAACGGCUAACUCCGUGCCAGCAGCCGCGGUAAUUC
rnacentral:rRNA from 1 species